rnacentral:tRNA from 1 species
GCGAGUAUAGCUUAAUGGUUAAAGUAUCAGGUUGUGGCUCUGAUGAUACGAGUUCAAUUCUCGUUAUUCGCC